rnacentral:rRNA from 1 species
UAGGGAAUCUUCCGCAAUGGACGCAAGUCUGACGGAGCAACGCCGCGUGAGUGAAGAAGGAUUUCGGUUCGUAAAACUCUGUUGUUAGAGAAGAACAGCGCAUAGAGUAACUGUUAUGCGUGUGACGGUAUCUAACCAGAAAGCCACGGCUAACUACGUGCCAGCAGCCGCGGUAAUACGUAGGUGGCAAGCGUUGUCCGGAUUUAUUGAGCGUAAAGCGAGCGCAGGCGGUCAAUUAAGUCUGAUGUGAAAGCCCCCGGCUCAACCGGGGAGGGUCAUUGGAAACUGGUUGACUUGAGUGCAGAAGAGGAGAGUGGAAUUCCAUGUGUAGCGGUGAAAUGCGUAGAUAUAUGGAGGAACACCAGUGGCGAAGGCGACUCUCUGGUCUGUAACUGACGCUGAGGCUCGAAAGCGUGGGUAGCAAACAGG